rnacentral:lncRNA from 12 species
GGGGCUUGGAGCCACCUGGGCUCGUGGAAGGUGUCCAUGGCACAGGGAUGGAGCUGGAUGAGCUCUGAUGUCCCUCCCAACCCAAACUAGUCUGGGAUUCCAUCAAAAUUCCCUUUGGAAGACCUUGCCAUUGAGUUUUGGCCAUGCCCAGGGAAGAGGGAGCCACAUUCACCAUGUGUGUCCACAGGUCACCGCUCUCCAAAGCCAACCUGGAAUUUCAAGACAA